UUAGAGUUUGAUCCUGGCUCAGGACGAACUCUAGCGGCAGGCUUAACACAUGCAAGUCGAGGGGCAGCGGGUAUGUUAGCAAUAACAUAUGCCGGCGACCGGCGCAAGGGUGCGUAACGCGUGAGUAACAUGCCCGUAUCAGGAGGAUAACCCGGAGAAAUCCGGACUAAUACUGCAUAAUAUUUUCAGACGGCAUCGUUUGGGAAUUAAAGUUUCGACGGAUACGGAUUGGCUCGCGUGACAUUAGCUAGAUGGAGAGGUAACGGCUCCCCAUGGCGACGAUGUCUAGGGGUUCUGAGAGGAAGGUCCCCCACACUGGAACUGAGACACGGUCCAGACUCCUACGGGAGGCAGCAGUGAGGAAUAUUGGACAAUGGAUGGAAAUCUGAUCCAGCCAUGCCGCGUGCAGGAAUACGGUCCUAUGGAUUUUAAACUGCUUUUGUAUGGGAGCAAUAAGUGCUACGAGUAGCGCGAUGAGAGUACCAUACGAAUAAGCAUCGGCUAACUCCGUGCCAGCAGCCGCGGUAAUACGUAGGUUGCAAGCGUUGUCCGGAUUUACUGGGUGUAAAGGGCGUGUAGGCGGAGAUGCAAGUCAGGAGUGAAAUCCCGGGGCUCAACCCCGGAACUGCUUUUGAAACUGCAUCCCUUGAGUAUCGGAGAGGCAAGCGGAAUUCCUAGUGUAGCGGUGAAAUGCGUAGAUAUUAGGAGGAACACCAGUGGCGAAGGCGGCUUGCUGGACGACAACUGACGCUGAGGCGCGAAAGCGUGGGGAGCAAACAGGAUUAGAUACCCUGGUAGUCCACGCUGUAAACGAUGA
rnacentral:rRNA from 1 species